AGCCUGCCCAGUGACAAAGUUCAACGGCCGCGGUACCCUAACCGUGCGAAGGUAGCAUAAUCACUUGUUCUUUAAAUGAGGACUCGUAUCAACGGCACUACGAGGGCUAUACUGUCUCCUUUUUCUAAUCAGUGAAACUGAUCUCCCCGUGAAGAAGCGGGGAUUAAAAUAUAAGACGAGAAGACCCCAUGGAGCUUUAAACUCACCAUGCACCUCUGUGCUCUUAUACCCUUAGACACACCAGACCUGCAUGCUAGUUUUAGGUUGGGGUGACCACGGAGUACAACUUAACCUCCAUAGCAAAUGGGCUAAUACCCUUAUCCAAGAGACACAACUCUAAGAAUUAUUAAACUAAUGCUUACGACCCGAUAUUCGAUCAAUGAACCAAGUUACCCUGGGGAUAACAGCGCAAUCUACUUCAAGAGCCCCUAUCGACAAGUAGGUUUACGACCUCGAUGUUGGAUCAGGGUAUCCUGGUGGUGCAGCCGCUACCAACGGUUCGUUUGUUCAACGAUUAAAACCCUACU
rnacentral:rRNA from 1 species